GAUGAACGCUAGCGGGAGGCUUAACACAUGCAAGUCGAGGGGUAAAUGGUAGCAAUACUAUGAGACCGGCGGACGGGUGCGUAACGCGUAUGCAACAUACCUUGUGCAGGGGGAUAGCCCGUGGAAACGCGGAUUAAUAUUCCAUAGUCCAGCUAUAUCGCAUGGUAUAGUUGGUAAAGAUUUAUCGGCACAAGUUUGGCAUGCGUCUGAUUAGCUUGUUGGUAGGGUAACGGCCUACCAAGGCUACGAUCAGUAGGGGUUCUGAGAGGAUUAACCCCCACACUGGUACUGAGACACGGACCAGACUCCUACGGGAGGCAGCAGUGAGGAAUAUUGGUCAAUGGGCGAAGCCUGAACCAGCCAUCCCGCGUGAAGGAAGACAGCCCUUACGGGUUGUAAACUUCUUUUCUGUCAGAAGAAUAAGCUUGUCGAGACGAGUGAUGCCGGUAUGACAGGAAUAAGCAUCGGCUAACUCCGUGCCAGCAGCCGA
rnacentral:rRNA from 1 species